rnacentral:rRNA from 1 species
GCCUUUAGCUUUGUUCUGGGCACAGUUGGAACGGCUGCUAAUACCGGAUGUGCCCUUGGGUGAAAGAUUAAUUGCCUGGAGAUGAGCUCGCGUCCGAUUAGUUAGUUGGUGUGGUAAGAGCGCACCAAGACGGCGAUCGGUAGCUGGUCUGAGAGGACGACCAGCCACACUGGGACUGAGACACGGCCCAGACUCCUACGGGAGGCAGCAGUGGGGAAUUUUCCGCAAUGGGCGAAAGCCUGACGGAGCAAUACCGCGUGAGGGAGGAAGGCUCUUGGGUUGUAAACCUCUUUUCUCAAGGAAUAAUAAGUUGAAGGUACUUGAGGAAUCAGCAUCGGCUAACUCCGUGCCAGCAGCCGCGGUAAUACGGAGGAUGCAAGCGUUAUCCGGAAUGAUUGGGCGUAAAGGGUCCGCAGGUGGUUUAUCAAGUCUGUUGUUAAAGAAUCUGGCUCAACUAGAUAAAGGCAAUGGAAACUGAGAGACUGGAGUGCAGUAGGGGUAGAGGGAAUUCCCAGUGUAGCGGUGAAAUGCGUAGAGAUUGGGAAGAACACCGGUGGCGAAAGCGCUCUGCUGGACUGCAACUGACACUGAGGGACGAAAGCUAGGGGAGCGAAUGGGAUUAGAUACCCCAGUAGUC